CCCGUGGUCGAGUGGUUACGGGAUCCGCCUAACAAGCGGAAGGUCAGAGGUUCAAUCCUCGGGUGGCAGCUUUGGAGCUUUGGUCAUCCCGCAAAAUCAGUACAGGUUUUUCUUUCCCUGCUGUCUGCGCUUUGGAGAAACCUCGAGUUAGUCAAAAAUGGACUACUCGGCGAAGAGCUCCAAUGCCAACUGACGACAGUCGGGCCAAUACGAGAGAGCCGAAAAAACUGAUGACAAAGGGGAGAGAUCUAAAAAUAGCCAACAGGGACCGCUCCAGUCCCCGUCCGUCCUCAUCAUUUGAAGUUGGACAUCAACAGCCUGAGAACCACAACAAUUCUUCAAAAGUUGCUCAUUUCUCCUUCGCUAGGUCAACUACAACUACUUAGCUUCGGCUGAUCUGUGCACUUCGGAAGAUAGUUGACUGGCCAACUAGCCGAAGAUGCGCUAACAGAUACGAUGAGUGUUCGGACUCAAAAAACACGAGAGGAGAAUUCUUCCUUUCGCACAACCACGCUUUAACGAACUGCGUUCAGGCGCACUCUACCAGUGUAUAUGUGCAUUGGAAAAAAGACUGUAAACAGAUUGCUUGAUUCUUCUCAAUAAGAUUCGAGCAAAAAUUGCAGCCUUAAGAGUAUAACAGGGAAUCACAAAAGAUAGUCGCUAGGACGGUCGAGGUGAACUAAUCCCAAUAUCUGCCCACAAGGCGGACAAAAAAAAA